CCAAGAAACACAAGGGCUGGCCCCAAAGCAGAAAGGCUGGAAGCAAAGGACCUUCAAAGGGCUUCCUACGAGUCAACUGUGACCUGGCUGCUCACGGGACCCCGAAUGUCCCCACGUUGGAAAGCACUGGGAGAGAAGAUAAAGAAGGAGAGGGUGUCAUACACUGCAAUUUUCCACUGGUGGUCUCGAGAUAGUCUGAGUAAACCAAUUUAAAAAGUGAGUCGAGGGCUUCCCUGGUGGUGCAGUGGCUGGGAAUCCGCCUGCCAAUGCAGGGGACACGGGUUCGAGCCCUGGUCCGGGAGGAUCCCACAUGCCGCGGAGCAAUUAAGCCUGUGAGCCACAACUGCUGAGGCCUGCGCGCCUGGAGCCCAUGCUCCACAACAAGAGAAGCCACCGCAAUGAGAAGCCUGCACACCGCAGCGAGGAGUGGCCCCCGCUCACCGCAACUAGAGAAAAGCUGGCGCACAGCAACGAA